UACAGAGGUCCCAAGUGUUGUUCGGAUUCACUGGGCGUAAAGGGUGCGUAGGCGGUCGGGUAAGUCUGAUGUGAAAUCUCACAGCUUAACUGUGAAACUGCAUUGGAUACUAUCCGGCUCGAGGAAUGGAGGGGAGACUGGAAUACUUGGUGUAGCAGUGAAAUGCGUAGAUAUCAAGUGGAACACCAGUGGCGAAGGCGGCUCACUGGCCCGGUACUGACGCUGAGGCGCGAAAGCGUGGGGAGCGAACAGG
rnacentral:rRNA from 1 species